CUGGUGGAGUAUGGUCUAAGGUCUUUGGUGGCAUACGACAGAAACUCACACUGGCUACCUUAAGCAAAGCCAUUAGAGGGGCUGGCUAGAAUCAAGCUACACAGAAAGAACAGGAAUCAGUUGAUUCCAAACUCAUGAAAGGAGGCUGGGGUGUGAUCACAUACCUCUUAUAAAGCCCCCAAAGGGGGAAAGUGCUUGGAGAGAUGACCUGAGGGAAGCCUGGUGUGCCUGGAGAUACAGUGAGUGCAGGUGGAAAGCAGAAUGAGAUGAGUUCAUGGGAUAGAUGGAGACCAGAUCAUACAUGGUCUUGUGGCCAUGUUAUGUGCAGCUCUUGAAGCAUUAAUGUGGAUGGCUCCAUCUCCUUUGUAAAGAGGACAACAAGCUCUUUUUA